rnacentral:rRNA from 1 species
GAUGAACGCUGGCGGCGUGCCUAAGGCAUGCAAGUCGAACGGCAGCGCGGACUUCGGUCUGGCGGCGAGUGGCGAACGGGUGAGUAAUGUAUCGGAACGUACCUUUCAGUGGGGGAUAACGUAGCGAAAGUUACGCUAAUACCGCAUAUUCUGUGCGCAGGAAAGCAGGGGAUCGCAAGACCUUGCGCUGAUUGAGCGGCCGAUAUCAGAUUAGCUAGUUGGUGAGGUAAAGGCUCACCAAGGCGACGAUCUGUAGCGGGUCUGAGAGGAUGAUCCGCCACACUGGAACUGAGACACGGUCCAGACUCCUACGGGAGGCAGCAGUGGGGAAUUUUGGACAAUGGGCGCAAGCCUGAUCCAGCCAUGCCGCGUGAGUGAAGAAGGCCUUCGGGUUGUAAAGCUCUUUCGGCCGGGAAGAAAUCGCAUGGGUUAAUACCCUGUGCGGAUGACGGUACCGGCAUAAGAAGCACCGGCUAACUACGUGCCAGCAGCCGCAGUAA